UACGAAGGGUGCAAGCGUUAAUCGGAAUUACUGGGCGUAAAGCGUGCGCAGGCGGCUUUGCAAGACAGAUGUGAAAUCCCCGGGCUCAACCUGGGAACUGCAUUUGUGACUGCAAGGCUAGAGUACGGCAGAGGGGGAUGGAAUUCCGCGUGUAGCAGUGAAAUGCGUAGAUAUGCGGAGGAACACCAAUGGCGAAGGCAAUCCCCUGGGCCUGUACUGACGCUCAUGCACGAAAGCGUGGGGAGCAAACCGG
rnacentral:rRNA from 1 species